AUGAGAGUCCAAUUUGAAUCCCCUAUCAUCAGCGAUCUCCCGGACGCCAUCCUUGGGGAGAUCAUCUCGCUUCUCCCCACCAAGGAUUGCUGCCGCACCCAAGUCCUCUCAACUCGGUGGCGCCCUCUAUGGUGCGUCACGCCCCUUAAUCUCGACUGUCGUCAGCUAUCUGUCUUUAAUGAUUUUGAACUUCCCAGAGCCAUCAUCUCCUCCCACCAGGGCUCCAUUCAAAGCCUCUGUGUUCUGUCAUGUUACCUGAGCAAGCAUAGCAUGCCCUGCACGGUGGACGCCUGGCUGAAAUUCCCUGAAUUCACAGAACUACAGCUGCUUGAGUUCUACUAUUCCCCAGGAAAUCACCUACUAGAUACCGAAAGCCAUGUACUUGUGCCCUCAGCAUCGAUGUCCAUCUCGCGGUUUUCCUCCUCUCUCCACACCGCCACCUUUGUGCUGUGA
rnacentral:rRNA from 1 species